rnacentral:rRNA from 1 species
CCUUCGGGUGAAGUGAGGCAAUGACUAGAGUGGCGAACUGGUGAGUAACACGUAAGAAACCUGCCCUUUAGUGGGGGAUAACAUUUGGAAACAGAUGCUAAUACCGCGUAACAACAAAUCACACAUGUGAUCUGUUUGAAAGGUCCUUUUGGAUCGCUAGAGGAUGGUCUUGCGGCGUAUUAGCUUGUUGGUAGGGUAGAAGCCUACCAAGGCAAUGAUGCGUAGCCGAGUUGAGAGACUGGCCGGCCACAUUGGGACUGAGACACUGCCCAAACUCCUACGGGAGGCUGCAGUAGGGAAUUUUCCGCAAUGCACGAAAGUGUGACGGAGCGACGCCGCGUGUGUGAUGAAGGCUUUCGGGUCGUAAAGCACUGUUGUAAGGGAAGAAUAACUGAAUUCAGAGAAAGUUUUCA